rnacentral:rRNA from 1 species
UACGUAGGGUGCAAGCGUUGUCCGGGAUUAUUGGGCGUAAAGAGCUCGUAGGCGGUUUGUCGCGUCUGCUGUGAAAACUCGGGGCUUAACUCCGGGCCUGCAGUGGGUACGGGCAGACUAGAGUGCGGUAGGGGAGACUGGAAUUCCUGGUGUAGCGGUGAAAUGCGCAGAUAUCAGGAGGAACACCGGUGGCGAAGGCGGUUCUCUGGGCCUGUGCUGACGCUGAGGAGCGAAAGCGUGGGGAGCGAACAGG